CGCCGUCCCGGCCACGGCGAGCGCCUCCCUUUCCCUGGCGCCAGGCCCUCAGGGCCGCCAUCUCCCUGAGCGCGGGCCGCGGGGCCGCCAUCUCCCUGAGCGCGGGCCGCGGGGCCGCCGUCUCCCUGAGCGCGGGGCGUUUGCCCGGCCGCUUCAGCCCAGGCUGACAUCUUGUGAAGAAGAUACCGAGACUCUAAGGGUGCUGUGAACGGUGAAAGGCAGGGAAGCUCUGGUGUGGUUGUUUGUUUGGGCCUCUUAGGAUAAUGGCUCUGGAGGAAGCCAGCCACCACGUGAGGUAACGAGCCCGACUCACCAUAAUCUGAGGAAGCCCAGAACAGCCACGUGUAAAGCUGCGUGGGGAGAGAAAUGUCCCGUCAGCCUCUGGCUAGCCCAGUGUCUGUGCCAAGUGCAAGUGUGGAGACACUUACAGCUGACUCCAGCUUCAACUGCUCUCUGGCCACAGCCAUAUGAGAGGUACACCAGGUGACAACUGCCCGGAUAAAGUCAUCAAUUCCCAGAACUGCGAGAAAUAAUACUAUAUUGCUGUUUUAAGCCACUGAAUUUUGAAAUAGUUUUGCAAGAAGAAAUUGAUAACUGGAACAGAACUUUGGUGCUUCAAAGUGAGAUGCUGCUAUAACAUAAACUUGAGGCAUGUGGCAUUUGUUUUUGGACGGAGCAAUGAGUGGAAGUUGGAAUAUCCGCAAAGAUUCUGUUAGUGAAAUCUGGAAAGGUCUCAAGAGACUGUUGGUGAGGGUCUGAGAGACAGAGAGGAACACAUUGCCGGAGGUUAAAGAAAAGGGAGCACUUGUGAUUUGUGGCGAAAAUUUUGCUGGCACUGUCGCUUGUGAUAAUGUGGAAAAGAAAAAGAGGAACAAAUGAACUUGUGGGUCUGGCCAGAGAGAUCUGCAGGCAGAAGGCAAAAGGUGCCAACCGGCUUCUCCUAGCUGCCUAUUAUAAAAUAUGAGUAGAAAUGGACUAAUGAAGGAAUCAUCUAGUUUUCAAACAGAAUUUAGAGGAAAUGUAAAUGAACCCUGGUUUAAUGGGUUCAAAAUAAAAUUAUUUCCUAUCCCCAUUCUCUUUCAGCAAAGGAUUUUCAAACUAGAAAUGCCCUCAAGGAAAAUAUAAAAUCUAAGCCAUUAUGAGUAAAGCGUGGUUUCAGAGUAAAAGUCUCAAAGUUAUAAGGCCUUUCGUUUAAACUUCAUAAAUAAUUAAAGACAUGUCUAGUAGGGCUUCUAAAAAAUUAAGUCUGUUCUUCUUAGACCUUUUUUGCAGGAAAAGAAUCCUAAACACAUACCUUGAAGACCCUUUAAAUCAGACAAAAAGCAUAUAAGCACAUUAAGAGCACAAUUUUGCAGUGUCUGACUCUGAAGUCAAUGGAGAAAAGGAAAAAGGGGCUGUCUCAGGAAGAAAAAAAAGAUGAUAGCUUUCGUCUCAGUGAAUGGAUUAUAAUUUGAUAGACAGGAAGCUCACAACAUUUUUAAAGGAAUUAUAUCAGCUUGGACCAAAAGUAAGAGACAGUACAGAAAGUGACCUGUAGACCUUCAAUCUUCCAUAAGCAGGAAGAAACCAAGGAGAUUGCUCAAUUUAAAACAAAAGCCAUUUCUUAUGUAAAAGAAAAGAACAUUCAGAGAUGGAACCAAGAGUUCAGAGGGAAGAAGAAUUAUUUUCUUGUGGAAGGACUGGCCCCUAACCAAGCAACUAGCAAUAUUUGCCCAGCAUAAUUUCAGAAUUACUAUGAAACCACAACUUCUAUAUAGUAUACUAUUCAUUUCUUCCCUUUUGGAACAGUAAGAUAUAUUGUAGUUAUCCUAUGCAUGUCUCACCAUUGUAUGUUUGGAGUGGGUGAGAAGACAGAUGGCUGUCUUUAUUUCACAGGUUUUCAGAUCAAAUAAGUGUACUCAAGAUGCUAUACCCAAGGGUGCAUACCAAAGCAGGCUCAUUUGUAUCUGGACCUAACUUAGAUAAUAGGAUCUUGGAUUUCAAGCUGUUACUGUAAUGGGAUGAACAUUUAUCGGCCUUAGGAGAGGGGUGGAUGUUUUUUGCAUGAAGGAGAGCCAUACAUUUUUGGAGCUCUGGUGGAUUGUGAUGGUUUGCCUCCAAGACAGUCACCAUCCUUUUCUUCCUUUCCUGUGUGCAUUAAUCCCAUUAAGUGGAAUUUGCUUCUACACUUUCCUUGAGUUUGUACUGGCCUUCAUAACUUCCUUAACCAAUAGAAUGUGGUGGAAGUGACAUUCCAGGGCUUCUGUGGUUAAUUCAUAAGAAGACAUGCAGCUUCUGCUCAAGCCUUAGAAAACUUGGAAUGCAUAGAAGGAUUCAGUUACCAAAUAAAUUUGAUUACCCUAAGACUGCCAUGUGUAAAGCAGCAAAAGCCACAUGGAGAGGCUGCAUGGAGAGAGAGAGAUGCUCCACCAACUGCCAGCAUUUCUAGCCAUCCCAGCCCUGGCAACAGACAUGUGAGUGAAGAUGUAUUCAACUAACUCCAGCCUCAGUCACCAUAGGAAUGCAACAUUAUAAAGGACCCCAGUGGGAACUACCAAAAUGAGCCCAUCAACCCCCAGAGGAGAUAAUAUAUUGUUGUAUUAAGGCACCAAAUUUUGGGGUGCUUUGUGAUACAGAAGCAAAUAACUAGACCUGCUAGCAUUUUAUUUUUCAUAUAGACAUAUUUAUAGUGCUUCACCUUUAUAAAAUCUAUGACAGUUGAGUCCACAUUGAAUUGCUUAGAUGUCUAUUCACAAAACUAGAAUCAAUAGAUAUUUGAUUUGCCUGUCUAAAAGAGGCAGAUAGAACAGCAGAAAAAGCCCAAGUUUCCAAUUUCAGUUUUAUUACUAAGUAACUGUGUCUGUGCAAAUCAGUGAAAUGUGUUGAACCUCAAUUUUCUCAUUUGUAAAAUGGGGCUAAUAUUUUUUCCUUUCUACCUACAAGAUUAUGAUAAAGUUUCAAGUAGACACAAUGAAAAUCCCUAACUCCAGCCCCAGCCACCAUAGGAAUGCAACAUUAUAAAGGACCCCAAGUGGGAACUACCAAAAUGAGCCCAUCAACCCCCAGGGCCACUUGCUGCAAAACAACCUAUGGUGAUUCAAAACUUGGGAAAGAAGCUUUACUGAGAGGCAAUACUUCACAGGAAGGAGGCUCUGCGGGGUCAGCGCUCUGUCUCCGGCCCCUGGUUCUGACGCCUGUCCUGUGGCUCACAGCCCACGUCUGCCUGGACCAUCUUUGAGCACCCGGAGUGUGGUAAGGUGGGAGCCUCCUCCCAGCGCCCUGGCAAGCUGGAGGAUGUCUGAACCGAUUUUUCAGCCUGUCCUGAUAUAAGACAACCGAUUGGCCCACGUUUGCUUGAGGAGAUCAAGAACUGGAAUACUGAGUGGGUCAAUGACUGCGCGUUACUUCCAUUGGUCAAACCUGAACACUUGUGUUUCUCAUCAUGCCUGGUGUCUGGACUCCAGGCCCUGUUCUAAGAUUUGAAGAAUUUCACCAUAGUUUCUGGCUUUCUGUGUGUCUCUAUGUGGUUAUAUUACAGUCCCAGAAAGGAGACCUUAAAAGCCAUAGUUGUGAACCCACUGUCUAAUUUUAAUCUUAACUAGGCACAUCAAAUAUGGAGCAAUAGCAUAAGAACAGGUGUGGGCAUAUAGCAGAAACUCAGGACAGGACCACUUCAGCUCCUCCUGGACCUUUAUCUCCAUGGAAAAGGAAAACAGCCCUGUUUGGAUAUGUGAUCUUUCAAGAUGAUUAAUAGGAACCAGUGGAAGUUAGUGUUUCCUCCUCCUGAAAUAUUGCAAACUUGCAUCUCAGGGCCGGAAGUGCCCACCAUUAAUGAGAUGUAGGAGCUGUGGGGCUCUGCAAAUCUCCCCCUCCACGUUUCAGAACGUUGCACACCAAGCUUCUGCCUGCUCAAGUGUCCAUGGGCUCAUAUCUUCCAUUCUCAGUGGCCCUAGAGGGUCUGCAGCCCAGGCACUCUCUUGUGUGAGGAGGGCAUUGGUUUCCUGCCCUGAUGCUGCUGAUAUAAGAGAGCAGUCAUUCUGUGGACUUCUCUGCUGGUAUUCUCCUCCCUCUAACAUUGAGGAGUGUGGAGUCUUUUUCUGUGUCCAAUCUGGAGUCCUUAUCCCCUAAGCCCUUGGCGGGGAGUUAGCUGUUUUGUUCAUGUAGAGAUUUUCUGUCUCCAAGCUCAUUCUUUGGUUGUCCCUUCCUCUCCAGCGGCAUUUCUUUCCCUCUUGGUGUGCUCAGGUGGCCUUUGUGUAGAGUGCCUGGUGCACACAGAGUCUCUGUUUGCCUACUGAUGCGUGAUCUGCCAACAGUUGUUGGCAGAAUGUAUGUAAUGACCUUAGGAACUUGGUAGCAUUUGAACAGCUAGAUUAGGUUUUCCCAAUUCCCACUCUGACUUGCAAGUUUUAGGCGAUGGUUGAAGUUGCAUUAGCUCUUUCAGGGCAUUGAGUUAGUAAGUAAUGAUGGAAAUGAACUCAGUGGAACCUUAAAGAUUCUGAUUUAUCUCAAUCCCAGCACCUCCUUACUAAUCUUUCACCUUUACUCUCAGACAUGCAGUUCACACUAUACUAAUUAGCAUUUAUUUACAUGUUGCUUCCUUAAACCUUUUUUCAGCAUUAUGGAUGUAACUAACAUAUGUAUUUGCAAGAAAGC